rnacentral:tRNA from 1 species
AGGGCUAUAGCUCAGUUGGUAGAGCACCUCGUUUACACGCGCGCCAAUGUUUUGUAUAGCCCUA